rnacentral:rRNA from 1 species
GAUGAACGCUGGCGGCGUGCCUAAUACAUGCAAGUCGAGCGAACAGACGAGGAGCUUGCUCCUCUGACGUUAGCGGCGGACGGGUGAGUAACACGUGGAUAACCUACCUAUAAGACUGGGAUAACUUCGGAAAACCGGAGCUAAUACCGGAUAAUAUAUUGCACCGCAUGGUUCAAUAGUGAAAGACGGUUUUGCUGUCACUUAUAGAUGGUUCCGCGCCGCAUUAGCUAGUUGGUAAGGUAACGGCCUACCAAGGCAAGGAUGCGUAGCCGACCUAAGAGGCGGAUAGGCGACACGGGAACUGGAACACGGACCAGACUCCUAAGAGAGGCAGCAGUAGGGAAUCUUCCGCAAUGGGGGAAAGCCUGACGGAGCAACGCCGAGUGAGUGAUGAAGGUCUUCGGAUCGGAAAGCUCUGUUAUUAGGGAAGAACAAAUGUGGAAGUAACCAUGCACGGCUUGACGGUACUGAAUCAGAAAGCCACGGCUAACUACGUG